GGUCUUUGGCAUUGGUGACCUUUGGAAGGAGUGUUUACAUGGUCAUGCUCUUUGUUGAUGUUGAUGCUAUUGCUUUCUGUUUGUUAAUUUUCUUUCUAACAGUCAGGCCCUUCUUCUGCUGGUCUGCUGGAGUUUUCUGGGGGUCCACUCCAUACCCUGUUUGCAUGGGUAUCACCAGCAGAGGCUGCAGAACAGCAAAGAUUGCUGCCUCCUCCUACUUCUGGAAGCUGUGUCCCAGAGGGGCACCUGCCAGAUGCUAGCCAGAGCUCUCCUGUAUGAAGUGUCUGUCGACCCCUGUUGGGAGAUGUCUCCCCAUCAGGAGGCAUGGGGGUCAGGGACCCACUUGUGGAAGCAGUCUGUCCCUUAGCGGAGCUCCAGUGCUGUGCUAGGAGAUCUGCUGCUCUCUUCAGAGCUGGCAGGUGGGAAUGUUUAAGUCUGCUGAAGCUGCGCUCACAGCUGCCCCUUCCCCCAGGUGCUCUGUCCCCAGGAGAUGGGAGUUUUAUCUAUAAGCCCCUGACUAGGGCUACUGGCUUUCUUUCAGAGAUGCCCUGCCCAGAGAGGAGGAAUCUAGAGAGGCAGUCUGGCUUCAGUGGCUUUGCAGCGCUGCAGUGGGCUCCACUCAGACUGAACUUCCUGGCAGCUUUGUUUACACUGUGAGGGGAAAACUGCCUACUCAAGCCUCAGUAAUGGCAGAUACCUCUCCCCCAACCAAGCUUGAGCAUCCCAGGUCUACUUCAGACUGCUGUGCUGGAAGUAAGAAUUUCAAUCCAGUGGAUCUUAGCUUUCUGGGCUCCAUGGGGGUGGGAUCUACUGAUCAAGACCACUUGGCUCCCUGGUUUCAGCCCCCUUUCCAGGGGAGUGAAUGGUUCUGUCUCUCUGGCAUUCCAGACAACUCUGGGGUACGAAAAAAACUCCUACAGCUAGCUCAGUGUCUGCCCAAAUGGCCACUCAGUUUUGUGCUUGAAAUCCAGGGCCCUUGUGGUGUAGGCACCCAAGGGAUCUCCUUGUCUGUGGAUUGCGAAGACCAUGGGAAAAGCGUAGUAUCUGGACCGGAGUGCACCCCCACUCACGGCAUGGUCCCUCAUGGCUUCCCUUGGCUAGGGGAGGGAGUUCCCCAACCCCUUGCACUUCCCAGGUGAGGCAAUGCCCCACCCUGCUUCUGCUUGCCCUCCGUGGGCUGCACCCACUGUCUAACCAGUCCCAGUGAGAUGAACCGAGUACCUCAGUUGGAAAUGCAGAAAUCACCCACUUUCUGUGUUGGUCUUGCUGGGAGCUGCAGACAGCUGUUCCUAUUCGGCCAUCUUGCCUGGGAAUCUGUAAUUAUAUUUUAUUGCAUAUUCUUCCUAGGCUGGGUGUGUGUGUGUGAAAGAGAGAGAGAAACAGAAACAGAGACAAGGAGACAGAGACAGUGAAACAGAAACAGAGUCAUCUUCCAGGUUCUACUUAUUAAGCAAUAUCCCAUGAAGUAGCUGAAAAGUGUUAUAUUCUCCUAAUACCUAGUGUUUGCAAAUCUGGCAGCUGUCACUGAUGAUUUAAACAAGAUUGGGUGACUUAUUUAUGUACACACACAUCCACAAUCAAACUUCAACAGUCGAGUGUACCCUUUUCUAAAUAAUCACGUUGCUAAAAUGUGCCACAUGGCCCAUUUCUUUAAACAAUAAAUGGUAAAUUAUUAUUUUGGGGAGUGAAAGCUAAAAGAAAUAAUAUGUCUAAUACGAUGUGGCAUUUUCUCUAUACAGUACAGUUUUAGCAUUGAAAAGGACCUCAGCAAUUCCAUUUGCCCCGUUUUCAGAUGAGGAGAUUGAGGCUGGUAGUUACAGUGGUUUUGCUUCAUGUCCCAUCCCACUGGGGCUGCUAUGCAAGCUCUCAGUCUAGUCUUCUUUCCUCUGCACUUGGUGGCCAUCAGCUGUAACAAGUCCUGACUAGACAAGGGCUUUGUUGUUGACUACAAUUCAAUGCCUUUUUUGCCUGCGUUUGUUUGGACCCUGCUAAUCAAGGCUACAGGGCAGCUGCAGAAAGACACCUGCUAUUGGCUUACCUGCUCCUCGCCUUCCCUCUGCUUGGGUCUGAGCAUCAGAAAGCCACCUUCCAGUGGGUCUUUGCCUAGCUUUUGUCUUGUCUUUGCUUUUUAUUCAUCUUUGCUUUUGUCUUCUCAGGGCAAAUAGGAAAUCCUAGACCUCAGAUCACUGUUCUUUGCUUCCCAAAAGACAGAACAGCUCAGUCCUGGCUGCCACCUUCUUUCUUUACUCUUGGUUUAAAUGUAAUCCCACAUGCCCUAGACAAGCCUCCUGAUGAUUUUUCAUCAAACAUGAAAAUAGCUUACUUUUAACUGCUGGGUGUCAGUCUCUUCUAAAAAUUUUGUUCCUAAGGAAUUGAUUUUGCAAAUCAGUGCUAAAGUCACUUUUUAACUGCCUCACAUACUAUCAUUUCUUUGACAAUUCUUUUUAAAGGGGAUUGCUCUUUUCUCCUUCUGGUUUCUCAAAUCUACUUUUAACUUCAAAUAGCAGGCAUGCAAUGUAGUUUUAUAAGAUAAUAUACUAGGACCAUCUAUCAGAUAUGAAACCAAGCAUAAUCAUUGCAAUUAUUUCUACUGUAUUCAGAUAAUGAUAAUACAAAUAAGAGUACGACAUACGUAAAUGUUGAUUAGCUUUCUGGUUCCUUCAUCAAAACUUGCGUUGUGUUGUGCAGCCUUUUCUUUGCAUUGUCCAGGGGUUUUGUUAUUACAAACCAUAAUAUUUAACCCAUUUCUUCUACUAAUAUCUUUUAAUAUUUAUGCUAUUAUAUAGCUUUUUAUUUUUGACAUGUAUCUAAACCAGAAAAAAAUAUUCCUUGUACAUGAUAUUUUUAGGCAAAACAUAAUGUCUGGAGCACCAAGUGAAAUAACUGUGGAGAAUGGAAUGUUGGACAAUUUGUGUGGCAUGCUUAGCUUAAUUUGUUUCUAUGGCACAAGCAAAGCUCAUUAAUUCCAUUUAUUAUUUUAAGCCACUUGUUUGGUGUUAUGGAUUUUAAGAAUCAGUUGGUGUUAGAAUUUUUAAUAACACAGAGAAAGCCAUUGAAUAUGGAACUCAAAUUAUCUAAGGUUUACCCAGAAGUCAAAAUCACCUGGCCCUCUGUAAAUUUCUCUUUGUGUUCCUAGGCCCACAAAGUCUUUGGUCUGAAGACUCAGAGCUUAAAUUGCAUUGGUCCUGUUAAUCUUUGUCAAAAAGGAAGUUUGGGCGGCAGUUUCAGGGUAGUGUUGAGAAGAUAACUCCUGGUCCCAUUUUAUUCUUUCCUCAUUUGUUCAGUGCUCAUGGCCAUCUACAACCUUCCUUGAUUCUAUUCUGCCUAAGCCUCUUAUUUCCACAUCUAUAAGUAUAGUGCUACAUAAUAAUUACAACCUUUAAGAAAAUGGAGAGUUUUCAUUAAAGGGCCCCUGCAAAUCUAUGAUGCUAGAUGACAGAUUCUACCAGAAGGCCAGAGUAUUAAUAGCACCCGUGAUAACUGUAAUAAGAAUAUGUCUCGUUUUCUUUUAAAGACAUAGAUAUUCCAUUUUAAUCCUGUAUAACUCAAAGAAAAUUUGGGUGUUAACACUUUGAAAUACCUUUACCUCCUUUGGGGGAAAUCCAAACUGAAAGGAAUUAAUAUCCACAUCAGUUCCUAAAGCAAAAUGCCUGACACAGACUAACAAAGCUCUUUCUCAUCCUGUGGUAGGAACUUAGGAGUGAUAACUCACAUUGAGAACUUGUGAUCUGAAAGCACUAAGGAAUUUCUGCCAUUGCAGGUAGGAAAAAAAAAGACAAAAAUGGUAUUCUCAGGUGAGCUUACCUUUCAAAUUUUUCUGAGACUUCCUAAAUGUGACAAGAACUCUGCUGUGUGGCAACCUUAUGUAUCCACAACAGAACUAAGGACCGAAAAAAAAAAAAAAAAGAUCUCUAUCCCAAUAGAUUUUAUAAAAUCCAUACUCUAAAACUCCUGAGUUUUACAUGUACCCUAAAACUUAAAGUAUAGUAAAAAAAAGAAAAGAAAGAAAAACUCUUUAACCCUUUGUUUAAAUCCUAUUAACUCUUAACGAUACACAGUUCGAAUUAUCUAAAUGAAAUAAUUUUCAAGCACAUAACAGAUUAGAAACAGAGAAUGAGAAAGGUAUAGUAGAUAUUAUGUAAAUAAGCAGAAAUAAUGGCAAUAAUUAAACACACUAUCUCUACCUAAAAGAACAGAGAUAGAAAACUCAUAUAAAAAUCUAAACUACAGUUUUAUGGGGAUAGUUAAGGUAAGAGCCUGCAGGCAGCACUGUAUUGCUUUACAAAACAGCAUUUCAUUUGUAUUAUGAUGAUUUCAGACUAUCAAUUUAAAAAUUCAUUAGUAUAAAUUAAGAACAGGUACCAUUUUCUCCAGAUACUUCCCCUUCAUCUGUCCUGAAAUUAUUAAUUAUUGACUUCUACUUAAAUAAGAUCUUAUUUUCAUCUGCUGGAAAACUUUUUCUGAUAACCAUACAUAUCUUCAAUGUCUACAAUUUGAAUGGAGAGCCCUUUCAAUGUGGCGUUUCUGUUUCUUCCAUAACCUCACAACGAUAUGUGGUGGCCCCGCAGUCAUUAUGGUCUUGUUAAAUAAUUAGAUUUGUGUAAACUAUAUUUUAGAGUCUUCCAAAACGCCUCUCCUUCCAAAAUGGCUAAAAGGGCAAAGCGUCAGUAAUUCUGUAGACAUGCUUCAUGCAUGUUCUGAAUAGGAGCUAUGGUAUAAUGAGAUGCUAUCUCUGGAAAAAAAUGAAUAGAUUUUCAAGAUUGUGAGUCCUGACAUGAGUUCUCUAGAAUUUUCCCCUUUGAUAAAUUUUCCUUUACCUAGCUGUUGCCAAAUUGUCUCUUCUAGAAGAAUGCCCAGAUUUUUUUUCAGUUCCAAAGUUAUCAAAAUCCCAGGAAUAUUUCACAGAAAAGAGAAGCAUUUAUAGCAAGCAUGGGUGUGGCAUGCUUUCUCUGUGGGAAGUUGUCAUCCUCCACAAGAUCUUGCCCACACUCAAAACAAACUUGCUUCCCAUCACAUUCUUGGUUUGUCAGCACUCUGUAAAAGGAAAUCUCAUCUCCUGUCUGUUGAUAGUAGAGCUUAUAUCAAACUGGGACAUGUUUCUUCUUCAUUCAUGAAUAAGUCUAAUUUUCUCUCCGGUGUGUAAAACUGACAAUACCCACAAGAUACUACUGACUUGGAAGUUUCACUGCAGGUAGCUACCAUACCAGCAUUUGGUAAACUAGCUCCCUAGGUGAGACAGCAUUAGAUGACCUCCUUCGUGCCACACUACUUGCCAGUAUCCACUGGGAGACAAAUUAUGAUUGUUGCGUCCUUCUUUGAAAACACCCCUGCUGAGUACCUACUGUAUGUGAGUCACUGUGCAGGCACUAGAAAUAUAAAGCAAAAAAAACAGAUUCUACCCACCGGGAGCUCCUAGUCCAGUGGUGAAGAGGUGUAUUAACCCUCAAGGCCCUAAGAAAAUCCCCAAUAGGGCUCUGCACAAGCCGGGCUCUGAUAGGAGGUGCCAGUGCUUUUCUUCUUCCAGUUUCAGAGCCCCAGCGAUCCCAGGAUGAAGGAGAGCCCAUUUGCAACCCUCUUCUGUCUCCCUAAGCAUUCAACAAACACUUAGUGACCAUCUGUCUUGUGCAAAAAGCUUGGGGAGUGAUAAAAACAAAUCAAAUUCACAUUUUAAUUUAGGGAGUUUAGGAGAUACAUCCUAGUGUGGAUUUCACAUGGUCAAUGAUUUGCUUUCCUUGAAUUUGCCCUCUGCAACCAACACCUGUUCGUGCUAUGAGACUGAAGUCCUCCUAGACCGCCCCAUUCAUCUGAGUAGUUAGGGCUCUGGAUGAAGGAGCAAAUGGACAAAAUAAGCCCCCUCUUGCUCAGGACCUGACUAACAUUUCAGAACUGCGGUCACCCAUUUUAUACAAACCAAAGCACUUCUGACAGACCUCUGAAUUUGCAUUAAAAAGAGCACGUCUACAGCUCCUAACAAUCAAAAACAACUAUGAACACUGCUUGCUUCAGUGAUACAAACAGACAUUUUCUUGUUACAUGUGUGGUGAUCUGAGAAUGGUGACUUUGGACCCAGUUUGACUGGUUAGCGUUUAAAUAAAACUUAACAGACUAGGCAACUAAAGGAACUCAGUAAAAGAUCAAAAGCAAUGCUCAAAGGGAGUGCCUGGGUAACCAUGAUGUAAUUGCAGAUUGACACAUCUUUGGGUUUUUCAUUAUUGUUUCUAAAAACUAGAUAUUAUUGCUUUAUUAUUAUGUUGAUGAUGAUUAUUGAAAGCACGAUAGCAAUGUUUAAGUGGUGAGAAUGACUCUAAGCCUCUUUUUGUUGCUGUGACUGACAGAACUAAAGGGAGUUUGCUCUCACAUUCACAAUACCAACUCUGCCAUCUUAUGGAAAAUAUUGGAAGUACCUAGGGCAUUUCAUUAUAUUUCAAAGGCACAGGUUGCUGGUAAGAGGGACAGAAAGACAAGAACAUAGUACCUUCUAUUUCUACUACAUGUUUUUAAUCUUUAACAUUUUUACCAGCAGAAAUCAUUUUUUUUUUAAAUCUCUCAAUCUUCAAAUAAUUCUUAGAUUGCUUGCCAGCAAAGAUGUCUCUUGAUCUUGACACUGGAAUUCAAUGUAAAAAUCUUGAAUGAUAUUUUGUACUGAUAUGAAUUUCUACUGUCCCAUAACACUGUGUAGUGACUUCACUGUAUAUUAACUUCUUUUCUACAGAUGUUUGACUUAUGAGAUGAAUUAAUUGAAAAAGUCAAAGCCUAUCAGGAGCUAUCUUAUAUGAUGUUGGUAGCCUGUGAAAAAAUAAAUGUCUUUUUUCUUAUACAAACUGAUAACAAGACUUGCUUUCACAAUUACUAUUUACAUUUUUGUGCAUAUAAUGCCUGUAUAUUAUACUCAUAUUUGAAAGUGAUCAGAAAGUGUUAUUUAACAGAAACUACAUACAUUUUUUAUGUCUCUCUGGACCCUUUGAUUCUAAGUAAAUUUACAGUAAGUUAGCAGUAAUAGACUAUUCUUUUCAACUAUGAAUAAAAAUGUACACUGAAGUAAAAAAAAAAAAAAAA
rnacentral:lncRNA from 10 species